AUUAAUACUUUUAAUUUGCAAAUAUAAAUAUAAGAUUAUAUAUAUGUGUGUGUUUGUAUGGAUUGAUGAAAAUUUCACAAAGAAAUAACAAAAUUCAGAAAAAUAAAUUAAAAUUAAAUGGAGAGAGAGAAGAAGAAGAAGAAGAUUAAUUAGAAAGCUUACUCAGGAAAUCUCCCAAGCUGAAAUUCUUGGAAUCAGCCCAUUUCUGAUAAUCAAGAUUAGGCUUUUCAGUGUUAUCAUACCAACCAAAAGAGUCACCAACUGUGUAAUUCUUGUAAGCUGCAACAGAUCCAGCAGAAACAAAAGGAAGAAGAAGAAGAAGAAGAAGAAGACAAGAAGAAGGAAAGGAUAGAAGAUGUGAUCUCUGUUCCAUUAAUUAUGGUUUUGGGAAAGUGAAGUGGAAGUGUAGUAAUGGUGAUCUUUUCUUUUUACUAUUAUGAGGAAGAAAGGGGAUGGAAAACGGAACUGUUAGGUUCUUUGACAGUAUCACUUUUCAUGUUAUAUAUAGAGCCUUCCUUUUCUUGGAAUUACCAAUUCUGCUCUCUUUUUAGAUGGUGAAAUGUUGCUUUGUGAAUUUAUGUGGUGUUUGUCUAUUUAAUAUAUCUUCAGCAGACAACUG
rnacentral:lncRNA from 1 species